GACGAACGCUGGCGGCGUGCCUAAUACAUGCAAGUUGAGCGCUGAAGGUUGGUACUUGUACCAACUGGAUGAGCAGCGAACGGGUGAGUAACGCGUGGGGAAUCUGCCUUUGAGCGGGGGACAACAUUUGGAAACGAAUGCUAAUACCGCAUAAAAACUUUAAACACAAGUUUUAAGUUUGAAAGAUGCAAUUGCAUCACUCAAAGAUGAUCCCGCGUUGUAUUAGCUAGUUGGUGAGGUAAAGGCCCACCAAGGCGAUGAUACAUAGCCGACCUGAGAGGGUGAUCGGCCACAUUGGGACUGAGACACGGCCCAAACGCCUACGGGAGGCAGCAGUAGGGAAGCUUCGGCAAGGGACGAAAGUCUGACCGAGCAACGCCGCGUGAGUGAAGAAGGUUUUCGGAUCGUAAAACUCUGUUGGUAGAGAAGAACGUUGGUGAGAGUGGAAAGCUCAUCAAGUGACGGUAACUACCCAGAAAGGGACGGCUAACUACGUG
rnacentral:rRNA from 1 species